UACGUAGGGUCCGAGCGUUGUCCGGAAUUAUUGGGCGUAAAGGGCUCGUAGGCGGUUUGUCACGUCGGGGCGUGAAAACUCAGGGCUCAACCCUGAGCGUGCGUUCGAUACGGGCAGACUAGAGGUAUGCAGGGGAGAGCGGAAUUCCUGGUGUAGCGGUGGAAUGCGCAGAUAUCAGGAGGAACACCCGGUGGGCGAAGGCGGUUCUCUGGGGAGUGUGACUACUGGAGACGCGAAAAGCGUGGGGAGCGAACGGAUUAAGAUACCCGUUGU
rnacentral:rRNA from 1 species